rnacentral:rRNA from 1 species
AAAUUGAAGAGUUUGAUCAUGGCUCAGAUUGAACGCUGGCGGCAGGCCUAACACAUGCAAGUCGAACGGUAACAGGAAGCAGCUUGCUGCUUUGCUGACGAGUGGCGGACGGGUGAGUAAUGUCUGGGAAACUGCCUGAUGGAGGGGGAUAUCUACUGGAAACGGUAGCUAAUACCGCAUAACGUCGCAAGACCAAAGAGGGG